GUGAAAUUCCGUCGGAAUCUGGGAGGACCAUCUCCUAAGGCUAAAUACUCUCUAGUGACCGAUAGUGAACCAGUACCGUGAGGGAAAGGUGAAAAGCACCCCGGAAGGGGAGUGAAAUAGAACCUGAAACCGUGUGCUUACAAGUAGUCAGAGCCCGUUAAUGGGUGAUGGCGUGCCUUUUGUAGAAUGAACCGGCGAGUUACGAUUUGAUGCAAGGUUAAGCAGUAAAUGUGGAGCCGUAGCGAAAGCGAGUCUGAAUAGGGCGUUUAGUAUUUGGUCGUAGACCCGAAACCAGGUGAUCUACCCUUGGUCAGGUUGAAGUUCAGGUAACACUGAAUGGAGGACCGAACCGACUUACGUUGAAAAGUGAGCGGAUGAACUGAGGGUAGCGGAGAAAUUCCAAUCGAACCUGGAGAUAGCUGGUUCUCUCCGAAAUAGCUUUAGGGCUAGCCUCAAGUGAUGAUUAUUGGAGGUAGAGCACUGUUUGGACGAGGGGCCCCUCUCGGGUUACCGAAUUCAGACAAACUCCGAAUGCCAAUUAAUUUAACUUGGGAGUCAGAACAUGGGUGAUAAGGUCCGUGUUCGAAAGGGAAACAGCCCAGACCACCAGCUAAGGUCCCAAAAUAUAUGUUAAGUGGAAAAGGAUGUGGCGUUGCCCAGACAACUAGGAUGUUGGCUUAGAAGCAGCCAUCAUUUAAAGAGUGCGUAAUAGCUCACUAGUCGAGUGACACUGCGCCGAAAAUGUACCGGGGCUAAACAUAUUACCGAAGCUGUGGAUUGUCCUUUGGACAAUGGUAGGAGAGCGUUCUAAGGGCGUUGAAGCAUGAUCGUAAGGACAUGUGGAGCGCUUAGAAGUGAGAAUGCCGGUGUGAGUAGCGAAAGACGGGUGAGAAUCCCGUCCACCGAUUGACUAAGGUUUCCAGAGGAAGGCUCGUCCGCUCUGGGUUAGUCGGGUCCUAAGCUGAGGCCGACAGGCGUAGGCGAUGGAUAACAGGUUGAUAUUCCUGUACCACCUAUAAUCGUUUUAAUCGAUGGGGGGACGCAGUAGGAUAGGCGAAGCGUGCGAUUGGAUUGCACGUCUAAGCAGUAAGGCUGAGUAUUAGGCAAAUCCGGUACUCGUUAAGGCUGAGCUGUGAUGGGGAGAAGACAUUGUGUCUUCGAGUCGUUGAUUUCACACUGCCGAGAAAAGCCUCUAGAUAGAAAAUAGGUGCCCGUACCGCAAACCGACACAGGUAGUCAAGAUGAGAAUUCUAAGGUGAGCGAGCGAACUCUCGUUAAGGAACUCGGCAAAAUGACCCCGUAACUUCGGGAGAAGGGGUGCUCUUUAGGGUUAACGCCCAGAAGAGCCGCAGUGAAUAGGCCCAAGCGACUGUUUAUCAAAAACACAGGUCUCUGCUAAACCGUAAGGUGAUGUAUAGGGGCUGACGCCUGCCCGGUGCUGGAAGGUUAAGAGGAGUGGUUAGCUUCUGCGAAGCUACGAAUCGAAGCCCCAGUAAACGGCGGCCGUAACUAUAACGGUCCUAAGGUAGCGAAAUUCCUUGUCGGGUAAGUUCCGACCCGCACGAAAGGCGUAACGAUUUGGGCACU
rnacentral:rRNA from 1 species